AGAAAACCUCCGAAGAUCAACGCUUUGAAGCAAACGCAGAUUGUAAAAAAGCGGGAUGACGUAUCGACCGUCACCCCGC
rnacentral:sRNA from 1 species